rnacentral:misc_RNA from 1 species
UUAAGUUCAGCGGGUAUUCCUACCUGAUCCGAGGUCAACCUUAAAAAAUAGGGGGUUUAACGGCUAGAUCACACUGCUUUCCAGAGUGAGGUAAAUUACUACACAGAGGAAGCUACAGCGAGACCGCCACUAGUUUUCAGGGCCAGCCGUUUAACGGGCUGAUCCCCAACACCAAGCUAAGCUUGAGGGUAUAAAUGACG